AGACUCUGCCACAGUCUUCGCGUAUAUACCCCAUGUGACGCCUGUAUCCUCAGUCCUUGGAAAGGAGGUGGAUGAAGAGUACUCUCAGGACCUUGAGUAAGGUAGAGCUGGGAGCUGAAGGAGCCUGGUUCCUCAGCCACUGCAUGGAUCAGAGAACCUCCUCCCUACCUGUGCUGAAUUAAUCAGCCAGGUGUCCUGGAGGGCCUGAGAGGGACCAGGGUGAUGAUGGGAUCCGGAGAAGAAAGUCAGAUUGGAGCAUGUGUUCCUGAUGUGGCCCCGUUACACUCCCUCAGGUGUAUCCAACCACAGAGAGUGUCCUUCUGCAGCAGCUACCACCAGAGUCUCUACAGCCACAUCUCUCAGAGCCGCAGUCACUUCAUUGAUAAACUUCAGGGGGCUGAACUGGAUACUCUUUUCAGAUGGAGUUUCGCUCUUGUCACCCAGGUUGGAGUGCAGUGGCGUGAUCUCAGUUCACCAUAACCUCCGCCUCCCAGGUUCAAGCGAUUCUGCUGCCUCAGCCUCCUGAGUAGCUGGAAUUACAGGCAUGUGCCACCACACCUGGCUAAUUUUGUAUUUUUAGCAGAGAAGGGGUUUCUCCAUGUUGGUCAGGCUGGUCUCGAACUCCUAACUUCAGGUGAUCUACUCGCCUUGGACUCUCAAAGUGCUGGGAUUAUAGGUGUGAGCCACUGUGACCGGCCGAGGAUGACUUUUAACUUCUCCACCUGUAAUAUAACUCAAAGUAAGGAAGUUUCCCUCAAUAGUGGCUGGCUUCUCUGCUCCUUCUCAUGAACAGCGGUCACAGGAAUGGCUUUGGUUUGUUCAUUCCAAGUUAAAACAGCUGAACAAGCCUGACGAGUACUUGGGUAUUUCAUUCUUGGACAGCAGGUGAGGAAGUAGAAGAGCUCCACCGUGACACUUCCAUCACAUGUGGAUUCUCCCCUCCUGGAGGGUCUCUUUGCACACUUAGGACAUAACCUACACCUGAUUGUAUCUUCUUUUUGAGACCAUUAAAAAACAAAUGAAUAAACACACUUAGAUUUUGCUCCA
rnacentral:lncRNA from 1 species